rnacentral:rRNA from 1 species
UGAGUCGAACGCGUGGAGCGAUCCACGAGUGGCGCACGGGUGAGUAACGCGUGGGAACCUGCCCUUGGGUGCGGGAUAACCCGGCGAAAGCCGGGCUAAUACCGCAUAAUCCUGUGGGUGAAAGAUUUAUCGCCCAAGGAGGGGCCCGCGUCGGAUUAGCUAGUUGGUGAGGUAACGGCUCACCAAGGCGAUGAUCCGUAGCUGGUCUGAGAGGAUGAUCAGCCACACUGGGACUGAGACACGGCCCAGACUCCUACGGGAGGCAGCAGUGGGGAAUAUUGGACAAUGGGGGCAACCCUGAUCCAGCAAUGCCGCGUGGGUGAUGAAGGCCUUCGGGUUGUAAAGCCCUUUCGGCGGGGACGAUGAUGACGGUACCCGCAGAAGAAGCCCCGGCUAACUUCGUGCCAGCAGCCGCGGUAAUACGAAGGGGGCGAGCGUUGUUCGGAAUUACUGGGCGUAAAGGGCGCGUAGGCGGCGCCAGAAGUCAGAUGUGAAAGCCCCGGGCUCAACCUGGGAACCGCAUUUGAUACUCUGGGGCUGGAGUACGGGAGAGGAGAGUGGAAUUCCCAGUGUAGAGGUGAAAUUCGUAGAUAUUGGGAAGAACACCGGUGGCGAAGGCGGCUCUCUGGACCGUAACUGACGCUGAGGCGCGAAAGCGUGGGGAGCAAACAGGAUUAAUACCCUGGUAGUCCACGCUGUAAACGAUGUGCGCUAGACGUUGGAGCCUAUCUCCGUGUCGCACUAACGCGUUAAGCGCACCGCCUGGGGAGUACGCCGCAGGUUAAAACUCAAAGGAUUGAGGGGCCCCACACGGACUGGUCAUUCGACGCAACGCAAACCUUACCACUUGACUGUC